CAGCAGCCGCGGUAACACGAAGGGGGCUAGCGUUGCUCGGAAUCACUGGGCGUAAAGGGAGCGUAGGCGGACUGUUUAGUCAGAGGUGAAAGCCCAGGGCUCAACCUUGGAAUUGCCUUUGAUACUGGCAGUCUUGAGUACGGAAGAGGUAUGUGGAACUCCGAGUGUAGAGGUGAAACUCGUAGAUAUUCGGAAGAACACCAGUGGCGAAGGCGACAUACUGGUCCGUUACUGACGCUGAGGCUCGAAAGCGUGGGGAGCAAACAGGAUUAGAUACCCCCGUAGUCCCUGUCUCUUAUAC
rnacentral:rRNA from 1 species